rnacentral:rRNA from 1 species
CUACGGGUCGCACCAGCGGGGAAUAUUGCACAAUGGGGGAAACCCUGAUGCAGCAACGCCGCGUGGAGGAUGACGCAUUUCGGUGUGUAAACUCCUUUUGUAUAGGAAGAUAAUGACGGUACUAUAUGAAUAAGCACCGGCUAACUCCGUGCCAGCAGCCGCGGUAAUACGGAGGGUGCAAGCGUUACUCGGAAUCACUGGGCGUAAAGCGCGCGCAGGCGGCCUUUUAAGUUGGAUGUGAAAGCCUAUGGCUUAACCAUAGAACUGCAUCCAAAACUAUCAGACUAGAGUCUGGGAGGGGGAGAUGGAAUUAGUUGUGUAGGGGUAAAAUCCGUAGAGAUAACUAGGAAUACCAAAAGCGAAGGCGAUCUUCUGGAACAGUACUGACGCUGAGGCGCGAAAGCGUGGGGAGCAAACAGGAUUAGAUACCCCCGUAGUC